UUGAAGCUUCUGUAGAGGAAAUUACACAUACCGCCAAUGGAAUUUUUGAAGAGAAGAAGUCAGUAAUUUUGGAGGGACGUUAUCGAACAAACAGGGCGUUACUUCAACUGCGAUAAAUGCUUUUGUUCGAGGAAAUGGAAUCACUAGAAGUGAUUGUAGUCUGAUUCGCUUGGAUCGCCUUGAGCAUCACAUAAGAGAGGAAUUGAACAGGACAGCACCUCGUGUAUUGGUUGUGCUACACCCACUUAAGGUAGUUAUAACCAACCUUGAAUGGUUGUCCUUUUUUUCUAUAUGUAUGGGGUAAGGGGAGGUAAGAUAGUAGGCUGGCCCCAACACCAGGUUGAGA